CAUGCAAGUCGUGGGGCAGCAGGACGGUAGCAAUACCGUUGCUGGCGACCGGCAAACGGGUGCGGAACACGUACACAACCUUCCUUUAAGUGGGGGAUAGCCCGGGGAAACCCGGAUUAAUACCCCGUAAUAUUAUGAUGUGGCAUCACAUUAUAAUUAUAGCUCCGGCGCUUAAUGAUGGGUGUGCGGCUGAUUAGGUAGUUGGCGGGGUAAUGGCCCACCAAGCCUGCGAUCAGUAACUGGUGUGAGAGCACGACCAGUCACACGGGCACUGAGACACGGGCCCGACUCCUACGGGAGGCAGCAGUAAGGAAUAUUGGUCAAUGGACGCAAGUCUGAACCAGCCAUGCCGCGUGGAGGAUGAAGGUCCUCUGGAUUGUAAACUUCUUUUAUUUGGGACGAAAAAAGAUCUUUCCAGAUCAACUGACGGUACCAGAUGAAUAAGCACCGGCUAACUCCGUGCCAGCAGCCGCGGUAAUACGGAGGGUGCAAGCGUUAUCCGGAUUCACUGGGUUUAAAGGGUGCGUAGGUGGGUUUGUAAGUCCGUGGUGAAAUCUCCGAGCUUAACUUGGAAACUGCCAUGGAUACUAUAAAUCUUGAAUACUGUGGAGGUUAGCGGAAUAUGUCAUGUAGCGGUGAAAUGCUUAGAUAUGACAUAGAACACCAAUUGCGAAGGCAGCUGGCUACACAAAUAUUGACACUGAUGCACGAAAGCGUGGGGAUCAAACAGGAUUAGAUACCCUGGUAGUCCACGCCCUAAACGAUGGAUACUCGACAUUUGCGAUACACUGCAAGUGUCUGAGCGAAAGCAUUAAGUA
rnacentral:rRNA from 1 species